AGAGCGAACGCUGGCGGCAGGCCUAACACAUGCAAGUCGAACGGACCCUUCGGGGUUAGUGGCGGACGGGUGAGUAACACGUGGGAACGUGCCUUUUGGUUCGGAAUAGCUCCUGGAAACGGGUGGUAAUGCCGAAUGUGCCCUUCGGGGGAAAGAUUUAUCGCCAUUAGAGCGGCCCGCGUCUGAUUAGCUAGUUGGUGAGGUAAUGGCUCACCAAGGCGACGAUCAGUAGCUGGUCUGAGAGGAUGACCAGCCACAUUGGGACUGAGACACGGCCCAAAACUCCUACGGGAGGCAGCAGGUAGGGAAUUCUGCGACAAGUGGGACG
rnacentral:rRNA from 1 species